AACGAACGCUGGCGGCGUGUCUUAAGCAUGCAAGUCGAACGAGAACCUAGAGCUUGCUUUAGGGGAAAGUGGCGAACGGGUGAGUAACACGUGGGUAAUCUGCCCUCGGAUAGGGGAUAGCACUAGGAAACUAGUGGUAAUACCGCAUAAUAUGCGGAAAUCAUAAGAUUUCUGUAUCAAAGGCGCCCUCUGUAUAUGGUGCCGUCUGAGGAUGAGCUCGCGUCCUAUUAGCUUGUUGGUGAGGUAAAAGCUCACCAAGGCCACGAUGGGUAGCCGGCCUGAGAGGGUGUACGGCCACAUUGGGACUGAGAUACGGCCCAGACUCCUACGGGAGGCAGCAGCUAAGAAUAUUCCGCAAUGGGCGAAAGCCUGACGGAGCGACGCCGCGUGAAGGAUGAAGGCUUUAGGGUUGUAAACUUCCUUUCUCAGGGAAGAAUAAGGCAGUGAGUAACUACUCUGCCGAUGACGGUACCUGAGGAAUAAGCCCCGGCUAAUUACGUGCCAGCAGCCGCGGUAAUACGUAUGGGGCAAGCGUUGUUCGGAUUCACUGGGCGUAAAGGGCGUGUAGGCGGUGUAGUAAGUCGGAUGUGAAAUCUCCGGGCUCAACCCGGAAACUGCAUUCGAAACUGCUAUGCUAGAGUACCGGAGAGGGAGACGGAAUUCCUGGUGUAGGGGUGAAAUCUGUAGAUAUCAGGAGGAACACCGGUGGCGAAGGCGGUCUCCUGGCCGGAUACUGACGCUGAGGCGCGAAAGCUAGGGGAGCAAACAGGAUUAGAUACCCUGGUAGUCCUAGCCGUAAACGUUGUGCACUAGGUGUAAGUGGUAUCCAACCCACUUGUGCCGCAGCUAACGCAUUAAGUGCACCGCCUGGGGAGUAUGCUCGCAAGGGUG
rnacentral:rRNA from 1 species